AUUUCGGGCACCGGCGCUCAUUCGGUGUGGAGUUGCUCCCGGACGGAGGAGAGUGAGAAUAGUCUCUCGUGGAACGUGGAGGAGAUUGCCACAUUAUGCGCGUUUGGACUAUUGCCACUUCAUCCAGGGACCCAAAGAGGCAGGCAUGUCGGGGGCCCGCUAGCACAGACCACUUGGAAGGCGUGAAGGCCCUCACAGGUAUCAACCAGUUUUUCACUGAAGAUGACGACUUCAAAGAGAUCUGAUCCAGGUGGUAGCAUGGCGAAAAUGCAAUACAGUGAACCCCCGUUUAUCGCGGGGAUACGUUCCACAUCUACCUGCAAUAGGUAGAGGUUUGCGAUAUACAAGGACCGCAUGAAAAUAUUUUUAAAUAGCUAACAGGCUAACUGAAAUUAGAAUAGAUUUCACGGUAAUUAUAAACAUUCAGACUGGUACUUUAACAGACAUUGUGCAGCAACACAUACAAGCGGAGCAUAUAACAAUAUUAAUAGGCAUGUAUUCUCUCAAAAACUAUUUCUGGAACUCAUUUGGGGACCUUCUGUGGGCCUUUUUGCUCUCAAUCACCCUGCGUCUCUUCCAGUAGAGCUCAGUCCUGCUUGGAAUGUUGUGGCAUAAUGUGGUACGACACUGAAGGCAUACAACUCUAAAUUCAGACUAGCCUGUACAGUAUACAGUAAAAAACCAUAAAAAAAAAAACAGUCACUGAAAAAUUUGCAAGAUAGCGGGGGAACACUGUAAUGCAAUAAAGCACCUUAGUUUAUAGUCCAGAUUAAGCACACAUGAGUCAUUAACCGCUCCUCCUCCGCGGUCUGAGCCACAUCCUGUUCAGCGCCGCCAUCCCGCUUGCCUCGGAGAACAUUCAACGCUGUCGGUGAGUUUGGUAUGGAUCACAUAGAAACCAUCGACCGUUGACUGUGCCCCGAGGUUCGCCCCGACAACGUCAGCCAAGAGCGAAGAAUGCCCCCCGGCCGUGACGGUCGGGCGAGUGGGCGCAUGCAAAAUCCCGAGGCACGCAUUCCCCCCACACACAAGUCACACUGUGGUCACAAUCAACAUUCAUUGCUGUCGCUGGGUUGGACUGUGUAGAAAAGCUCACUGAACAAUGAGUGCAACUGUGGCCCAGAUCUGCCUUGACUCCAGUCUCGGCCAACCACCCCAACCGCAUGUGAAAGGCUGUGAUUUCUUUAUUUAUUUCCUUCUUGUUUUUCACUUCUAUAUUCUUCUGCUGGGGAGUCUCGGGGAGCAGGAGAAAUAGCGACACAAAUAGACUUCUGGCUGCUCGCUUGUCCUUAUCCACCUCUCGUCUAAUUGGCGGUUCUGUGUGCAGCAAGGGGGAAGGAAGUGGAGUGAAUGUGUAAUCAUUCGGAGCCUCUUCUUCUUCAGAUGUUGCAUCCCUCUCUUUUUUGUUUGCCUAAUUAUACAGUGCACUUGCUUAAUUCCAUGCUAACUGCCUGUCUUAUGUUGGCAGUAAUGGACCAGAGGAACAAAUAAACGCUAGAAUUAGUCGCGUUUGGAAGAUAGUCUUUCCGGUACAGCUUUUAACAGGGUUGUUUUGGACUUUGCAAUUGAGGAUGUCCCAUUGUGCGUGUGCGUGUGCGUGUGCUUGACUUUCGUGACAUGCUCUCUGGUUUCCUCUGUGCAUGUAUUUGUGUGUGUCUAAACCAGGAUUUCUCAAACUUGUUCAGCUCAAUACCCAAAUUAGAAUGUAUAUACAUUAUCCUAUCAUGUGUAAAUGUGUAGUAUAUGUCAAUGUUAUGGCAAUACAAAUGACUUUUCCAAGGUUUGGGGUCGCCCAGGAAAUUUCAUUUUUUCCAUGAAAACACACUGUUGUAUAUACACUUUAACUCAAAAACAUGGGGUCACUUAGAAAUGUCUUAUAAAAAAAGAAGAGAAAAAGAAACGCACCACUCUGUUUAUGUAUAAGUACAAACCUCAACUCCAAUGAAGUUGUGACGUGUAAAACGUAAGUAAAAACAGAAUACAGUUAUUUGAAAAUCCUUUUCAAACUAUUGUUUAUUAUAUUAUUAUAUAAAAUAUUCACUCAUUUUGAAUUUGAUGACUGUAGAGCAUUCCAAAAAAACUGGGACAGGGGCAUGUUUACCACUGCGUUACAUCACUGUUCCUUUUAACAACACUCAAUAAGCAUUUGGGAACUGAGGACACGAAUUGUUCAAGCUAAGUAGGUGGAACUCUUUCUUCCUUGAUGUACAACUUCAGUUGGUCAACAGACCGGGGUCUCCGUUGUCGUCAAUUCUGGACUGAUAGCAGGCCAGUCUAGUUCUCACACUCUUUUACCACGAAGCCGCGCUGUUGUAACACCUGCAGAAUGGGGCAUGGCAUUAUCUUGCUGAAAUAAGCAGGGACGUACCUGAAAGAUAUGUUGCUUGGAAGCCAACAUAUGUUGCUCCAAAACCUGUAUGUACCUUUCAGCAUUAAUGGUGCUUUUGCAGAUGUGUAAGUUACCCAUGCCAUGGGCACUAACGCACACACACACACAUUUACAUCCAUCCAGCAUCCAUUUUCUGAGCCGCUUCUCCUCACUAGGGUCGCGGGCGUGCUGGACCCUAUCCCAGUUAUCAUCAGGCAGGAGGCAGGGUACACCCUGAACUGGUUGCCAGCCAAUCGCAGGGCACAUAAAAAAACAACCAUUCGCACUCACAUUCACACCUAUAGGCAAUUUAGAGUCUCCAAUUCAUGCAUGUUUUUGGGAUGUGGGAGGAAACCGGAGUGCCCGGAGAAAACCCACGCAGGCACGGGGAGAACAUACAAACUCCACCUAAGCGGGGCCGGGAUUGAACCCCGGUCCUCAGAACUGUGAGGCUGACGCUCUAACCAUAUAUAUAUAUAUAUAUAUAAAGAGAGACAGACAGAGGGACAAACUGUAUAAAUAUAUAUACAGUACUACUGUUCAAAAGUUUGGAAAUUAAGCGUGAAGCGGCUGGGAUGAGAAUCAGCACCUCCAAAUCCGAGACCAUGGUCCUCAGUCGGAAAAGGGUGGUGUGCCCUCUCCAGGUCGGGGAUGAGAUCCUGCCCCAAUUGGAGGAGUUCGAGUAUCUUGGGGUCUUGUUCACGAGUGAGGGAAGAAUGGAACGGGAGAUUGACAGGCGGAUCGGUGCAGCAUCUGCAGUGAUGCAGACUUUGUAUCGGUCCGUUGUGUUGAAGAAGGAGCUAAGCCGAAAGGCGAAGAUCUCAAUUUACCGGUCGAUCUACGUUCCUACCCUCACCUAUGGUCACGAGCUGUGGGUCGUGACCGAAAGAACAAGGUCCCGGAUACAAGCGUCCGAAAUGAGUUUCUUCCGCAGGGUGUCCUGGCUCUCCCUUAGAGAUAGGGUGAGAAGCUCAGUCAUCCGGGAGGAUCUCAGAGUAGAGCCGCUGCUCCUCCACAUCAAGAGGAGCCAGAUGAGGUGGCUCAGGCACCUGAUUCAGACAUGUUCCGGGCACAUCCCACCGGGAGGAGACCUCGGGGACGACCCAGGACACGUUGGAGAGACUAUGUCUUUCAGCUGGCCUGGGAACACCUGGGGAUCACCCCGGAAGAGCUGGAUGAAGUGGCUUGGGAGAGGGAAGUCUGGGCAUCCCUGCUAAAGCUACUGCCCCCGCGAUCUGACCUCAGAUAAGCGUUAGAAAAUGGAUGGAUGGAUGGAUGGAAAUGAAAUAGAAAUGUCCUUAUUUUCAGAAAAGAAAUGCAGUUUUUGUUAAUGAAGAUAAUCAUGAAUUGUCUGGGUGACCCCAAACUUUUUUAACUUGUAUUGCCAUAACCUUGGUCUAUACUACACAGAAACUAACAAAAACAUAGACAAGAACAGUCAUGAGCUACAACAAACAUGAAUAGAAAAUCCCUUAAUGUUGCUUGAUGAUUAAUGACAUAGCUUACAGCAUUUUACUCCCUACUCCCAUAAAAGUGAACCUGCGGCCCAUUUUGGACCUUGAUACAAAGUUUGAGAAACCCUCCUUUCUUUAAAUGAGUCAUUCCAUGUAGUGUCUCCAUUCUUUCAAAAUAAAGUCACACCUACAACA